GACGAACGCUGGCGGCGUGCUUAACACAUGCAAGUCGAGCGGUAAGGCCCUUUCGGGGGUACACGAGCGGCGAACGGGUGAGUAACACGUGGGUGACCUGCCCUCAGCUCUGGGAUAAGCCUGGGAAACCGGGUCUAAUACCGGACAUGACUCCAUGACGCAUGUUGUGGGGUGGAAAGCCUUGUGCGGCUGAGGAUGGGCCCGCGGCCUAUCAGCUUGUUGGUGGGGUGANGGCCUACCAAGGCGACGACGGGUAGCCGGCCUGAGAGGGCGACCGGCCACACUGGGACUGAGACACGGCCCAGACUCCUACGGGAGGCAGCAGUGGGGAAUCUUGCGCAAUGGGCGAAAGCCUGACGCAGCGACGCCGCGUGAGGGAUGACGGCCUCGGUU
rnacentral:rRNA from 1 species